UACGUAGGGUGCGAGCGUUGUCCGGAAUUAUUGGGCGUAAAGAGCUUGUAGGCGGUUUGUCGCGUCUGCCGUGAAAAUCCGAGGCUCAACCUCGGACUUGCGGUGGGUACGGGCAGACUAGAGUGUGGUAGGGGAGAUCGGAAUUCCUGGUGUAGCGGUGAAAUGCGCAGAUAUCAGGAGGAACACCGGUGGCGAAGGCGGAUCUCUGGGCCAUUACUGACGCUGAGGAGCGAAAGCGUGGGGAGCGAACAGG
rnacentral:rRNA from 1 species